rnacentral:rRNA from 1 species
CUGUGGCUGGGGGUGAAAGGCCAAUCAAACCGGGAGAUAGCUGGUUCUCCCCGAAAGCUAUUUAGGUAGCGCCUCGUGAAUUCAUCUCCGGGGGUAGAGCACUGUUUCGGCUAGGGGGCCAUCCCGGCUUACCAACCCGAUGCAAACUGCGAAUACCGGAGAAUGUUAUCACGGGAGACACACGGCGGGUGCUAACGUCCGUCGUGAAGAGGGAAACAACCCAGACCGCCAGCUAAGGUCCCAAAGUCAUGGUUAAGUGGGAAACGAUGUGGGAAGGCCCAGACAGCCAGGAUGUUGGCUUAGAAGCAGCCAUCAUUUAAAGAAAGCGUAAUAGCUCACUGGUCGAGUCGGCCUGCGCGGAAGAUGUAACGGGGCUAAACCAUGCACCGAAGCUGCGGCAGCGA